GCAGUCCAUUUUUGCAGUGUAUACCAAAUGUAUACCAUCUGUAUUCCUCUGCAUUUUUUCUUGUAUAUCACUGCAUAUAUAGUGUAUAUCAGUGUCGAAAACUGCUUAUUUUCCCUCCUUUUCAUCAGAAAUAGCGUGAAGAUGUGCAGCUUCUGUUUUCCAGUGUAUAUCCACUGUAUACAAAUGUAUAUCAGUCCCUAGGCAGAUUUUGAUGGAAAUUUUUGACUCGAACAAGGAUGGUUUUGAUCCCGAGGAAAUGCAGGGGCAACGGAGUCCAGUUGGACUCACCAAAAAGCACAUAAACGAGAAAGGAAAACCAAAAUUAGUAGCUAUUCAAGUGCUCUUAACACAUAACUUAAAAAGGGAAUAAUACAUAUAACUGUUUACUCAAAGAUGUGAUAAAGAAGAGGGAAGCAUCAAUAAUAAUAGUUAAAAAUAAAACAAAAUGAAUUAGACAGUGACGUGCACUUAUCAAGAUAGCACCCAAAAUAUUAACUUAGUGGCUUGAGGAUUAGAGAGAUCUUUUUCAACUUGGCCACAUCAAAAUUUUUAAAAGGAUAGGAAGUACAACAUAACUUGGUUUUGUAGUCAAAUCACCCUACGUUGCUUCUUCAUUUUUUUAUUUUUUAUUUUUGUGGGGUUAACAUGAAUGCAAUUACUUCAUAUAUCUCAUAAUUUAGAUGUUACAAAUAAAGAAGAAUCUGUCUUGGUAUGAACAAUUCCAGAUAAUGCUCACCACUCCCCUUUCAAACCCCUACUUACCACACAAUUUCAACUCUUGUUUGAACAUGGAAAGUUUUCUACUCUUUUUUUUUUUCAGCUCUUGUUUGAACAUGGAAAGUUUUCUACUCUUUUUUUUUUAACUUUUGGAAUCAGUCAAACGCAAUUUGCAUUGAAAUAGAUUUUUUUUUCAAAAAAAAAGUGUGCAAGAGCACAUUAGAAUCAUGAAGAGUGCCACUAAACCUGCAACUUGCAUCAAUAUAGAUUUGUAAUAAAAUACUACUCCUAUAUAAUUGUAGCAGCAGUAAUAAAGAGGAACAAAGCUAAACACUGGAAUGUAAUUACUUCAUGAUGGCUCCUAACGAGUGGAAUAGGAGCUAAGAAUUUAUGUUUUUCAGAAGCAGAGACAUGGAAUUGGCAUUUUAAAAGUAAGAGAAUAUACAAUGAAAUAAACAUAUCAUCAUGUUGUACAAGAAGUACCAAAUAUAUGAAACCCAUCGUUGAACAUAAGCUCAAAAUAUUUUGAUAACAAGGGCAAUAAUAACCAAUUAGUCGAUGAGUUGUAAAAUAGUCCACGCCGAUCCUAAUGAGGCUGACGAGUACUAAAUUACAAAUCCACAAAGAGAAGAUUUAGGGACAAAAUCCCAUAUCGUCUAAAUGAUUAUUCUUACGCAAUGUUACCGAGACAUUAAUGCCAAACUAUUCGAAAGAGAGAGCAGAAAGGUUAAUCAAACAACACAGUUUACUUUUCAACUCCAAAACUUCACUGCAACGAUGAAAUUUCAAACAAAACCACCACAAUUUAAAGAAGAACAGAUUCUAAAGGUGAAACCUUCACACAAUCUCCAUCAUCCGAAAUAAUUUUCCAACAACAACAAAAAUUCAAACCAUCAAUAGAAUUCCAUACUGUGACAUCCAAACACAAAACCAAAGACAAUGUAAAGAGACGGGGUAUUCACCUUUUUUCGAGCAGCGAACUGGGAUUACGAGACUUUACAAUGAAACUUCCAACACUAAAUUCGGAGUUUAAUUUUCGUCGGAAUCAAGCUCUUGAGUCCGUUUCUUAGAAAAUUUGUGGUUACGUAGGAUUAGAAGCAUGCGCCUCCCGAAUCCUCAAUUUUUUCCCAAAAAUCCUCCUCCCCAUUUCUCGACAAAGGUGGGUAUAUAUAGAAGAAUUUGUUAUUGUUUUUUUUUUUGGUGGGGGAGGGGGGAACGGAGGGGUAAAAAAGGCAAAACGAAUUGAGAUUCGAAAUUUCAAAAUUUGAAAGAACGUUUGACCAGGAAUUGGAUGAAAUGGGAUGUUAUCUCUGAGCUGCAGCAGUCAGGGCGGAGCCAGCCUUCUAUUCGGGUUCAGCAAAAUCCUUCGACGAAAAAAUAUAUUAUUUAUAUAUAAUUAAAAUUAUUUUUUAUGUUAUUAUAGUAGGUGUUGAACCUUCGAUUAAUUUUCUUUGAAUAUAAAAUUCCUUAGUUAAAAUUCUAAAUUUUUAGACCCAUCAUUGAAUCAUGGCUCCUCCUCUGUCAGCAGUUGUCGUUGAAAGUUGGGUUGUUGUUGACGUUGAAAUUAUUGGCUGGUUACUGUUUUGCGUUGAAAUGGUGGGUUGUUAACGUUGAAGGUGCCGUUGGAAAGGCUGUACGCUGUUUGUUGAACGUUGUGGUACGCUGUUUUAGCGUUUUCUUGCUGUUAGGGUCGCUAUUUGGUAAAAAAAGAAAGGGGAAAUUGAAGUGUUGAGUCGGGUAUAAGGGAAAGGGAAGUUGGGAAUUAAGUGGGCCGGAUAUUAUGGUGUUUGGGCCGAUUGUUA
rnacentral:lncRNA from 1 species